rnacentral:rRNA from 1 species
AUUGAACGCUGGCGGCAUGCUUUACACAUGCAAGUCGAACGGUAACAGGUUAAGCUGACGAGUGGCGAACGGGUGAGUAAUGCAUCGGAAUGUGCCCGAUCGUGGGGGAUAACACUUCGAAAGAAGUGCUAAUACCGCAUACGAUCUGAGGAUGAACACGGGGGACCGUAAGGCCUCGCGCGAUCGGAGCGGGCGAUGUCAGAUUAGGUAGUUGGUGGGGUAAAGGCUAACCAAGCCGACGAUCUGUAGCUGGUCUGAGAGGACGACCAGCCACACUGGGACUGAGACACGGCCCAGACUCCUACGGGAGGCAGCAGUGGGGAAUUUUGGACAAUGGGCGCAAGCCUGAGCCAGCAAUGCCGCGUGCAGGAAGAAGGCCUUCGGGUUGUAAACUGCUUUUGUACGGAGCGAAAAGGCUCCCUCUAAUACAGGGGGCUCAUGACGGUACCGUAAGAAUAAGCCCCGGCUAACUACGUGCCAGCAGCCGCAGUAA